AUCAUCAGUAUCUUUGUUCAGUAUCGGCACUUGCCAGAUACAGUAUUUCUUUGAGAAAUACUACGCGAUUGAGAUGAUGGCCUUCAUUCAUGUUUCAUCGCGAGCACUAUGACGAAGAAGAAGAAAGCAAGGCAUGCAUGAUCUAGGCAUGCAUGCACAUUCUUCUAAUGCUGAAUUUUCUUGGAAUUUGGAUGUAGUGCUGAUUUUGCAGAGAAUUUGAUGUAUAUUUGCAUGCAAACAAAAUUCAAAUGCUGGGAGUUAUGUACAUAUUCUUAUAAUACUAUCCUAAUUGGAAAAUACGUUGGCAUUGAA